rnacentral:rRNA from 1 species
UACAGAGGGUGCGAGCGUUGUCCGGAAUCACUGGGCGUAAAGGGCGCGUAGGUGGCGCGACAAGUCAGUGGUGAAAGUUCGACGCUCAACGUCGAAUCGGCCACUGAUACUGUUGGGCUUGAGCACUGUAGAGGCUAAUGGAAUUCCGGGUGUAGCGGUGGAAUGCGUAGAGAUCCGGAAGAACACCGGUGGCGAAGGCGGUUAGCUGGGCAGUUGCUGACACUGAGGCGCGACGAGCGUGGGGAGCAAACAGG